UAUAGCAUUAGACUCUUUCAAAAAAAAGAAAGAAAGAAAGAAAAAAUGGUUCCUCAGCCUUUCUUUGUUUUUCACGACAUUGAUAUUGAUGUAGAAUCUAGGCCAGUUCUAUGAUGGGAUGUCCCUCAGUUGGAGUGGGUAUGAUGUUUCUUCUUGAUGAGAUUCCACAUACACACUCUCUGUUGUAAUAUCCUCUAACUGAUGCUGUGUUCUUCUAGGGCAUCACGUCUGGAGGAACACAGCAUCUGGCUGCCUUCGUUUGGGAUGCUGACUUGGAUCACCUGGACAAGGUGUUGCCUAAUUUCUCCACUGUGUAGUUACUAUCGGUCCCCUUGCAACUAACAAAUACUGUUUAAGGAGAUGUUAUUAUUUAUCUUCAAGCCAAUUUGAAUGGGGUUUUCUGUUACUUCCAACAUAAAAAUUCCUAGCUGAUUCAAGGGCUCAUUUGUAUUGCAGGAUUGAUUGCUGAUUACCAUGGAGAAGCAGGCAAGGGAUUAUGAAGAGAAAGACAGGAGGGAUAUCUUAAAAGCUUUCAUUGUGGUCUGAUGGGAGCAGAUCUGGACCAAGGCACAUGGGGAUCCUAAGAGGACUAAUUCAUUUGGUGACACUUCUUUUUCUUUGAAUUUAUUUUGCAAGAGCUGAACAACAACAAAAAUGAUACUCUCGCCAGGUAGGUGGCUCACAUCUGUAAUCUUACUUUGGGAGGCCAAGACGGGGCUUCACUUUGAAGCCAGGAGUUUGAGACCACCCUGAGCAACAAAUUGACACCCAGCUGAAGCUUCAUCUCAUGAGGUAUCUUUGGGAGACAGUAUAUAUCGUGCACCUCAGAGAUGUCCUACUAAAAUGAGGGAGCAGGGUUGAGGUGAGAAAAAUCACUGUUGCUAGUAAAUAGCAGUGCAUCAUGCACUAUGUGGUUUCAGAAUUUCCUCUUCCUCAGACUGCCAACUUAGGUCACACAUUCUAGCUGUUCUAGGUUGGCUUGUUCUAGGUUUGGCUGGGAGUUAGGGCAUGCAUUGCCACGUGUCAAAAUACUCAACAAAGAUAGAUCAGUGCUAGUGAGGAUUGUUUCCUAUCUCCACUUCUGUGGGGUCUCUACUCUGAAGGAGGUAGAACCAAUGUACGCAUCGCGGCUUCUCUAAGGAAUCAUAGGCAGGAACUCUGCCUAACAGGGACUAUAUUUCCAGUUAAAAAUGCUGAAAUGGAUCCCCAGUUUAUUUCAAUGAUGUUUAUGAGGAGGACGCUAAGAUUUAGGAAUUGUGGACUCUUAAGUUAUUUCACUGGUUCAAUAAUGGAGUUAGAUCAUUAUGGGGGCAGUGCUCAGGGAAAAGCCCAUGAACAGGGUGGGUGAUAUGGUUAGGCUUCGUGUCCCCACUCAAAUCUCAUCUUGAAUUGUAAUCCCCAGGUGUUGAAGGAGGGAGCUGGUGGGAGGUUAUUGGAUCAUGGGGGCAGUUUCCCCCAUGCCUAGUGAUAGUAACUGAGUGCUCACGAGAUCUGAUGGUUUUAUAAGAGUUCAGAAGUUCCUCCUUUUUCACUCGUCUCUCUCCUGCUGCCUUGUGAAGAAGGUGCUUGCUUCCCCUUCCACUAUGAUUGUAAGUUGCCUGAAACCUCCUCAGCCAUGAGGAACUGUAAGUCAAUUAAACCUCUUUCCUUUAUAAAUGACCCAGUUUCAGGAAGUUCUGUAUAAUAGUGUGAGAAUGGACUAAUACCAUGGGCUUGAGCUAGUCUUUGAAGAAUAGGCAGAAUUUGGAUAUACGAAGUAGGGAAGGUGUGGGGGCACUGGUCCAAAUGCAAAGGUGGGAGUGGGGAUAAAAUAUGGAUAAGAUGCAUGUGCGAUUGUACCUCGCUCACUUCCUCCUACCAUACACUCCUAUGCACGUCUUACUGCAACUUUCUGCCUGGCCGUCUGAGGGUGCCAUCAAGUUAAUACGCCCAGGAGCAAUUCUCCAACAGUGACCUACACAACCCAGCUUCCUUGACCUCAAGUGGGACACCCCUGAAGCACACUCACCCCACAUCAUCUGCACUCCCCUGCAGCAUCAUGCUCUGGUGGCCCCCAGCUAUACAUGUUCAGUCUUAAAGGAUAAAUAUUCUAAAGGUAAAAUCAUGACAUUAAUAGAAAACUUUUUAAAAACUACAUCAGAGUGAAAUACUGGACAUUGGAAACUACAAAAUGUGGGACGCUGGGUAGGGAGUGAGGGUUGAAAAAUUACCCAUUGAUUAUGAUGCUCACUAUUCAGGUGAUGGAUAUAGCAGAAGCCCAAACUUCACCACUACACAAAAUAUGCAUGUAAGGUACCUGCACUUGUACUCUCUACAUAUAUUUAAUAAAUAAAUUAAUUAAAUGUUUUAAAAACUGCUUAAAAUUUUUUAAACUCAUUAGUGAAUGAGGGAAAUGGUAAAAUGUCACAACUGAUUUAAACAUAGACUCAAAUAGCACUUACAUACAAAUAUAUAACACACUUUUUCUUUUUUUAAUGUUUUAUUUUAUUAUUUUUAUUUUUAUUUUAUUUUAUUUUUGAGACAGAGUCUUGCUCUAUCACCCAGGCUGGAGUGCAGUGGUGCAAUCUCGGCUCACUGCAGCCUUGAUCUCCUGGGCUCAGGUAAUCCUCAUGCCUCAGCCUCCCAAGUAGCUGGGACUACAGGCAUGUGCCACCACUCUUGGCUAAUUUUUUAAAGUUUUUUGUAGAGUUGGGGUCUCACUAUGUUGCCAAGGCUGCUCUUGAACUCCGGGGUCAAGGGAUCCUCCUGCUUCAGCCUGCCAAUGUGCUGGAAUUACAGGUGUGCACCACCAUGUCCAACCAUGUAACACACUUUUUCUGGAAAGGACCAGAUAACAUUUUAGGGUUUGCAGGCCACGUAGUCUCUGUUGCAACUACUCAGUUCUACCACUGUAGCCUGAAACAGCUAUAGACUAUAUGUUAAUAAAGGAGUGGUUGCUGGUGUUUCAAUGAAACUUUAUUCUCAAAAGCACAUGGUAGGUGCAUUUGGCCUAGAGACCUUCUUUGCAGACCCCUGAUACAGGCAAUUAAGAACCCUGAAAUUGCUUUACAAGUGGAUGCAAAACUGGUCAAUAUCCACAGGGCACUAAUCAAGUGCAUCUCCAUAGAACCGAAUUUGCAUCUCUGUGGGCAACAUUCAUCUGCAUUAUUAUGAGUUUUCUACAAUUUACAGAAUUGAAAAUACAGUUGAUCCUCAUUAUUUGUGAAUUCUGUAUUUGCAAAUUUGCCUUCUUGCUAAAAUUUAUUUGUGACUCCCAAAUCAAUAAUCAUGGUGCUUUUGUGGUCAUUCGUGCACAUACACAGAG
rnacentral:lncRNA from 1 species